GCGGGGUUAGCUCAGCUGGGAGAGCGUCAGACUGAAGUCCAACUUCAGGAUCACCAAUCAUCAAAUCUGAAGGCCGUGCGUUCGAUCCGCACACACCGCA